rnacentral:rRNA from 1 species
UGGGGAAUAUUGGACAAUGGGCGCAAGCCUGAUCCAGCCAUGCCGCGUGAGUGAUGAAGGCCUUAGGGUUGUAAAGCUCUUUCGACGGGGACGAUAAUGACGGUACCCGUAGAAGAAGCCCCGGCUAACUUCGUGCCAGCAGCCGCGGUAAUACGAAGGGGGCUAGCGUUGCUCGGAAUCACUGGGCGUAAAGGGCGCGUAGGCGGACAUUUAAGUCAGAGGUGAAAGCCCAGGGCUCAACCCUGGAACAGCCUUUGAUACUGGGUGUCUCGAGACCGGAAGAGGUUGGUGGAACUGCGAGUGUAGAGGUGAAAUUCGUAGAUAUUCGCAAGAACACCGGUGGCGAAGGCGGCCAACUGGUCCGGUUCUGACGCUGAGGCGCGAAAGCGUGGGGAGCAAACAGGAUUAGAUACCCUGGUAGUCCACGCCGUAAACGAUGGAUGCUAGCCGUUGGCGGGUUUACCCGUCAGUGGCGCAGCUAACGCGUUAAGCAUCCCGCCUGGGGAGUACGGUCGCAAGAUUAAAACUCAAAGGAAUUGACGGGGUCAUAGCUGUUUCCU